rnacentral:rRNA from 1 species
AACGAACGCUGGCGGCAUGCCUAACACAUGCAAGUCGAACGAGACCUUCGGGUCUAGUGGCGCACGGGUGCGUAACGCGUGGGAACCUGCCCUUAGGUUCGGAAUAACUCCCUGAAAGGGGUGCUAAUACCGGAUAAUGUCUUCGGACCAAAGAUUUAUCGCCUUUGGAUGGGCCCGCGUUGGAUUAGCUAGUUGGUAGGGUAAAAGCCUACCAAGGCGACGAUACAUAGCUGGUCUGAGAGGAUGAGCAGCCACACUGGGACUGAGACACGGCCCAGACUCCUACGGGAGGCAGCAGUGGGGAAUAUUGGACAAUGGGCGAAAGCCUGAUCCAGCAAUGCCGCGUGAGUGAUGAAGGCCUUAGGGUUGUAAAGCUCUUUUACCCGGGAUGAUAAUGACAGUACCGGGAGAAUAAGCACCGGCUAACUCCGUG